rnacentral:rRNA from 1 species
ACUCCUACGGGAGACAGCAGUGGGGAAUUUUGGACAAUGGGGGCAACCCUGAUCCAGCAAUGCCGCGUGUGCGAAGAAGGCCUUCGGGUUGUAAAGCACUUUUGUCAGGGAAGAAAUCUUUUGGGCGAAUACCCCGGAAGGAUGACGGUACCUGAAGAAUAAGCACCGGCUAACUACGUGCCAGCAGCCGCGGUAAUACGUAGGGUGCAAGCGUUAAUCGGAAUUACUGGGCGUAAAGCGUGCGCAGGCGGUUCGCUAAGACAGUCGUGAAAUCCCCGGGCUUAACCUGGGAACUGCGAUUGUGACUGGCGAGCUAGAGUACGGCAGAGGGGGGUGGAAUUCCUGGUGUAGCAGUGAAAUGCGUAGAGAUCAGGAGGAACACCGAUGGCGAAGGCAGCCCCCUGGGCUAGUACUGACGCUCAUGCACGAAAGCGUGGGGAGCAAACAGGAUUAGAUACCCUGGUAGUCCACGCCCUAAACGAUGUCGAUUAGUUGUUGGUUCUUCAUUGAAUCAGUAACGAAGCUAACGCGUGAAAUCGACCGCCUGGGGAGUACGGUCGCAAGAUUAAAACUCAAAGGAAUUGACGGGGAC